rnacentral:rRNA from 1 species
AUUGAACGCUGGCGGCAUGCUUUACACAUGCAAGUCGAACGGUAACAGGGAGCUUGCUCCGCUGACGAGUGGCGAACGGGUGAGUAAUGCGUCGGAACGUGCCGAGUAGUGGGGGAUAACGCAUCGAAAGGUGUGCUAAUACCGCAUACGAACUGAGGUUGAAAGUGGGGGACCUUCGGGCCUCACGCUAUUCGAGCGGCCGACGUCUGAUUAGCUAGUUGGUGAGGUAAAGGCUCACCAAGGCGACGAUCAGUAGCGGGUCUGAGAGGAGGAUCCGCCACACUGGGACUGAGACACGGCCCAGACUCCUACGGAAGGCAGCAGUGGGGAAUUUUGGACAAUGGGCGCAAGCCUGAUCCAGCCAUGCCGCGUGUCUGAAGAAGGCCUUCGGGUUGUAAAGGACUUUUGUCCGGGAGCAAAUGCUGGUGGCUAACAUCCACCGGAGCUGAGAGUACCGGAAGAAUAAGCACCGGCUAACUACGUGCCAGCAGCCGCGGUAAGAC